CCUUAGUCCCUCAGGAAGAAGGGGGUGAAGCUCCACCCCUUGAUCUGAGCAGGAAGGAAGUCUACAGGGGGGCAGGAGCAACAGAGAGGGAGGGUUAGGUGCAGGAGGCCUGAGCUCAGUGCAUGUGAAAGCUCACAUGGCCGUGGAAUCCGUGAAAGAGAAUCCUGAGCCGAGUUCAUCACUAAUUCACUGGGAAUCGUGUUACAGCGUCUGUGGCAUUUGAAGCGCAGCACAGCACUACAGCUGGGAGGCAUUCUAUCCUCAUAAAACUAUCUUAAGGCAACACACAAGAGUCAACCUCAGCCAACUGGAGAUCAUAGAGAGGACUAAGCUACAAGUAAAAUUUGGGUCAGUCAUAAGUCAAAAUGUGGGACAUCUUUCAACCAACAUAAGAAAGGCAACAAGAAUUGCAAGUGCCGCUCUUUAUGGAAACAUUGUUCAUCCUCAGUAAGAGGCAUUAUCUGUCAGUUCUGAAAACUGAAUUAUAUGACUAUAAAUACUCAAGUUUUUUUGGGGGGUAGAGAAUCCAUCAUGAUAGGGAGAAAAGUCUGUAUCUCAAGUUUACUCCAUGAUAUGUUUCUAUGAAAUGUUAUAAUUGGUUCCAAGUUAAUCAAUGGUGAGCUUCUAUAUUCACUUUUAUGUUUGUCUUUAGGGCUCUCCAUGCUCCCUAUAGUGAGUCAAGGUGUCGACUUAGAGACCAUUUUCUCCAACAGGUUCAUCAUCCUUUCCUGUAGCUGCAGGCUUUGCACUUGGAUGAUGUUUUGCUGAUCCAGUAUCCGGCGCACCUCCCUGCAUGUCUCUUCCAUGGCUCUGCUCAACCUCCUCUGUUCUUCCAGCAUGCUCUCCAUCACUUUUAACUUCUUCCUCUGGAAACUGAAGGUCUGCAGCUUCCUUCUCUUAGCUGCUCGCUCCCCCAAUCUGAUAAAAGAGAAUACAAUAAUUUAGGCACAGAUCAGACGUCAGGUUAUCAUAAUUGUACCUGCCCCACAUAGUCACAUGCUUUGCCCAGAGCAAUGAACAGUAUUCAGAGUAUACCAGGUGGCAGAAUAUAUUUAGUUUCAUCUUUAUACAAGUCUGGAUUUUUUUCUGUAAACAAGUCUAAUGCAUACCAGAACAUUUAGUGUUUCUUGACCCAUUCCCUGCAUCAUAUAAAGGCUUCCACCAUGACACUCUCUAUAGCAGAUGCUUGUGCCAUACAACAGCAAGUGGUAACGUUGAGUUGGAUUUGGUGGCCAACACAUGGGUCUAGUCUUCUUUGAUGGGGUGGGUGUUAAGAAAAUGUAAUUUAGAUAAUUAGCUAAAUAUUUGUGGUGAUGCACAUCCAUUUAUAUAUUACUUUGACAGUUUUUCUGCUGCUAAGUGCCGCAGUAAGAGAUCAAGAUUACGUACCUCAGUUUGUAAGACUGGAGACUGGCGGAGCUGUCUGAAUUGUCAUCCUCAAAACAGCCUUCCCUUUCUUCAUAAGUGAACUGAUUGUAGGACAAGUAGAGUGGCGUGGACUUGGCAGUUGGGGACUGUGAGGCCUCUGUGUGAGAGGUAGAAGGCCCAGGCUGAAGCUUCAUAUCUCCAUGCUCAGGCAGCUUGGAUAAGAUACGAUCAAUGGUUUUAAAAUAAGGCCAGUCUGGAGGUGCAGUCUCCCCGUCAGUCAUACAUUUUAAUUUCCUAGGCAAGAGCAAAAAAGUGUGCUAAGUGCAUAGAGAUGGGAAAGUCUGUAAUGGGAAAACAUGUACUUCUGUAAAUAAAAGUGACUUUUGUACAUGGCAACCCAAAGUCAAGACAAGUAAAGCCAUUAGUUGUGCCAA